UUCUGAUUGAUAACAUUUGAGUGAGUGGCGGACGGGUGAGUAACACGUGGGUAACCUGCCCUAAAGUGGGGGAUAACAUUUGGAAACAGAUGCUAAUACCGCAUAAAACCUAGCACCGCAUGGUGCAAGGUUGAAAGAUGGUUUCGGCUAUCACUUUAGGAUGGACCCGCGGUGCAUUAGUUAGUUGGUGAGGUAAAGGCUCACCAAGACCGUGAUGCAUAGCCGACCUGAGAGGGUAAUCGGCCACACUGGGACUGAGACACGGCCCAGACUCCUACGGGAGGCAGCAGUAGGGAAUCUUCCACAAUGGACGAAAGUCUGAUGGAGCAACGCCGCGUGAGUGAAGAAGGUUUUCGGAUCGUAAAACUCUGUUGUUGGAGAAGAACGUAUUUGAUAGUAACUGAUCAGGUAGUGACGGUAUCCAACCAGAAAGCCACGGCUAACUACGUGCCAGCAGCCGCGGUAAUACGUAGGUGGCAAGCGUUGUCCGGAUUUAUUGGGCGUAAAGCGAGCGCAGGCGGUUUCUUAAGUCUGAUGUGAA
rnacentral:rRNA from 2 species